CGGGUCGCAGCAGUGGGGAAUCUUGCGCAAUGGGCGAAAGCCUGACGCAGCCAUGCCGCGUGUAUGAUGAAGGUCUUAGGAUUGUAAAAUACUUUCACCGGUGAAGAUAAUGACUGUAGCCGGAGAAGAAGCCCCGGCUAACUUCGUGCCAGCAGCCGCGGUAAUACGAAGGGGGCUAGCGUUGCUCGGAAUUACUGGGCGUAAAGGGAGCGUAGGCGGACAUUUAAGUCAGGGGUGAAAUCCCAGAGCUCAACUCUGGAACUGCCUUUGAUACUGGGUGUCUUGAGUGUGAGAGAGGUAUGUGGAACUCCGAGUGUAGAGGUGAAAUUCGUAGAUAUUCGGAAGAACACCAGUGGCGAAGGCGACAUACUGGCUCAUUACUGACGCUGAGGCUCGAAAGCGUGGGGAGCAAACAGGAUUAGAUACCCGAGU
rnacentral:rRNA from 1 species